rnacentral:tRNA from 1 species
GCGGAUGUGGUGGAAUUGGUAGACACCUCGGAUUUAGAUUCCGAUGCUUUAUGCGUGAGAGUUCGAGUCUCUCCAUCCGUACCA